rnacentral:rRNA from 1 species
CCUACGUGAGGCAGCAGUGGGGAAUAUUGCGCAAUGGGCGAAAGCCUGACGCAGCGACGCCGCGUGAGGGAUGAAGGUCUUCGGAUCGUAAACCUCUGUCAGCAGGGAAGAACGGUCACUGUGCUAAUCAGCAGUGAAUUGACGGUACCUGCAAAGGAAGCACCGGCUAACUCCGUGCCAGCAGCCGCGGUAAUACGGAGGGUGCGAGCGUUAAGCGGAAUUACUGGGCGUAAAGCGCUCGUAGGCGGUAUGUCAAGUCAAGGGUGAAAUCCCCGCGCUCAACGUGGGAACUGCCUUUGAAACUGGCAAACUGGAGUGUGUGAGAGGAGAGUGGAAUUCCAGGUGUAGGAGUGAAAUCCGUAGAUAUCUGGAGGAACAUCAGUGGCGAAGGCGACUAUCUGGCACAUAACUGACGCUGAGGAGCGAAAGCGUGGGUAGCAAACAGGAUUAGAUACCCCUGUAGUC